rnacentral:rRNA from 1 species
AGUUUGAUCCUGGCUCAGGAUGAACGCUGACAGAAUGCUUAACACAUGCAAGUCUUUGGCGAAGCUGUGCUUGCACAGCCUAGCCAAGGCGGACGGGUGAGUAACGCGUAAGGAACUUGCCCUGCAGUCAGGGAUAACAGACGGAAACGACUGAUAAGACCUGGUAAAGUCAGGCGGACUCAUGUCCAGCCUGAUGAAAAGAGAUGCUGCAGGAGAGCCUUGCGUCCUAUUAGCUUGUUGGUGGGGUAACGGCCCACCAAGGCGAUGAUAGGUAGCCGGCCUGAGAGGGUGGACGGCCACAAGGGGACUGAGAUACGGCCCUUACUCCUACGGGAGGCAGCAGUGGGGAAUAUUGGACAAUGGGGGCAACCCUGAUCCAGCAAUUCUGUGUGCACGAUGAAGGUUUUCGGAUUGUAAAGUGCUUUCAGCAGGGAAGAAAAAAAUGACGGUACCUGCAGAAGAAGCGACGGCUAAAUACGUGCCAGCAGCCGCGGUAAUACGUAUGUCGCAAGCGUUAUCCGGAAUUAUUGGGCAUAAAGGGCAUCUAGGCGGCCAGAUAAGUCUGGGGUGAAAACUUGCGGCUCAACCGCAAGCCUGCCCUGGAAACUAUGUGGCUAGAGUACUGGAGAGGUGGACGGAACUGCACGAGUAGAGGUGAAAUUCGUAGAUAUGUGCAGGAAUGCCGAUGAUGAAGAUAGUUCACUGGACGGUAACUGACGCUGAAGUGCGAAAGCUAGGGGAGCAAACAGGAUUAGAUACCCUGGUAGUCCUAGCUGUAAACGAUGAUUACUGGGUGUGGGCAUGAAGAGUGUCCGUGCCGAAGCUAAUGCGAUAAGUAAUCCGCCUGGGGAGUACGGCCGCAAGGCUGAAACUCAAAGGAAUUGACGGGGACCCGCACAAGCGGUGGAGCAUGU